ensembl:lncRNA
AAAUAGGACAUAAAUGAAUAUUCUGUUUUUCAGGAGGACAUUGACAUGAUUGCAUCACACAGUUGCUACACAUUUGUUGGUUGCACAUCCAUUAUGUAAAACCCAAAGAUGCUCUGUUGGAGCGAUCUGGCGACUGUGGAGGUCAUCUAAUUCACUGUCAUGUUUAAUAAAGCUGUUUGAGAUUAUUUGAGCUUUUUGACUCAGACUCACAGGUAGAUGGAGUAAACAAAAAACUGGCUGAUGACCAAAGUACAAAAAAAGAACUAAAGGGAAAAAAGAAACUGAAACCUAAACUGAGAACUAAUACUAGGCAAGGGAGUGCUGGAGCUGGAAAAUAAGAGGGGAAAAUGAACUGACACUCUGAAAAAGAUCAAGGAGAAGGCAAUAACUAUAUAUACUUAAAAGGGUGAUUACAGCAGUGAAGAUAACAAAUAGAACAGAAUAGAGAAUAACAGACCAGAGAAAGGAAGCAAAAUUUAAGACAAUGAAAAAGGAACACAACCUCCAAAAUAAAACAGGAAGUGACAGAACUAAAUAGGGAAACCGCAGACAUGUGAAUGGACUUUGCGGUGGAUGAAACGCUGGGAAAAGAGCUAAACUCUAAACCAACUGAGAACUAGGAGCAAACCUAAAAACACUAAAGAACACAUGAAGUGAACAUAAACCUUUAACAAACCAGGGAUCACAAUGGAUAAAUAAAAAAAUAAAAUAAAUAAUAACAAAAAUAUAUUUAAAAAUAAUAAAUAAUUAAAUAAAUAAAACCUCUGGCCAAAAUAUAUACACUGGGUAAACUGACCCAGGACUGUCACAGUUAAGUCUAUUUGCCCAUGUGUGUUAUGUUUCCCACCUAUUUUCCCUUAAAUACACAGCAGCCUCAUUACCUGCUGUGUAUUUAUUGUCUAAGCCUCCCUGUGUUCUUUGUCAUGUUCUACCUCAAAGCUGUGUUUUCUCUGAUCCUUCCUGGAUUGUUAGUUCCUGGCUCCUGCUUUUGUAUUGUUUUUGUAUAGUAAUUCCUGCAAUACAGUAAUUCAUGACAGAAAUUUAGGUGAACAAUUGGUAAUCUUAAGUAACUAAAACAUAUGAAUGCAAAAAACACCCCAAUAAACACC